AGAGUUUGAUCCUGGCUCAGAUUGAACGCUGGCGGCAUGCCUUACACAUGCAAGUCGAGCGGCAGCGCGGGGGCAACCCUGGCGGCGAGCGGCGCACGGGUGAGUAAUGCAUCGGAACGUGUCCUCUUGUGGGGGAUAACCAGUCGAAAGACUGGCUAAUACCGCAUGAGCACGAGAGUGGAAAGCGGGGGACCGCAAGGCCUCGCGCGAGAGGAGCGGCCGAUGCCGGAUUAGCUAGUUGGUAGGGUAACGGCCUACCAAGGCGACGAUCCGUAGCUGGUCUGAGAGGACGACCAGCCACACUGGGACUGAGACACGGCCCAGACUCCUACGGGAGGCAGCAGUGGGGAAUAUUGGACAAUGGGGGAAACCCUGAUCCAGCGACGCCGCGUGUGUGAAGAAGGCCUGCGGGUUGUAAAGCACUUUUAGUGGGGAUGAAAAGCUCAGGGAUAACACCUCUGGGUCUUGACCUAACCCACAGAAAAAGCACCGGCUAACUCUGUG
rnacentral:rRNA from 1 species